rfam:Pan troglodytes isolate Yerkes chimp pedigree #C0471 (Clint) chromosome 16, whole genome shotgun sequence.
GCUGGGUGUGGUGGCGCAUGCCUGUAAUCCCAGCUACUCUGGAGGCUGAGAAAGGAGAAUCGCUUGAACCCAGGAGGCGGAGGUUGCAGUGAGCCAAGAUCGCGUCACUGCACUCCAGCCUGGGAGACAGAGCGAGACUCUGUCUCAA